rnacentral:rRNA from 1 species
AUUGAACGCUGGCGGCAGGCCUAACACAUGCAAGUCGAGCGAGCGGCGGACGGGUGAGUAAUGUCUGGGAAAAUGCCUGAGGGGGGGGGGUAAAUACUGGAAACGGUAGCUAAUACCCCCUACCAUCAGAUGUGCCCAGAUGGGAUUAGCUAGGAGGUGGGGUAACGGCUCACCUAGGCGACGCUCCCCAGCGGGUCUGAGAGGAUGACCAGCCACACUGGAACUGAGACACGGUCCAGACGCCUACGGGAGGCAGCAGUGGGGAAUAUUGCACAAUGGGCGCAAGCCUGAUGCAGCCAUGCCGCGUGGGUGAAGAAGGCCUUCGGGUUGUAAAGCACUUUCAGCGGGGAGGCGUUACCCGCAGAAGAAGCACCGGCUAACUCCGUGCCAGCAGCCGCGGUAAUUC